CUUGCUCCAUAUUUGGAUGAAUCCGAGAAGGUAUGGCUAAAUAAAGCCACUGAGCCAAUAACUGCCUGAUGAUCUCUCUGGGAAAGGAUUAUUGAAGUAAUUUCAGUCCACAUGUCUUCUCUUUUAAUAAUGCCAUCUUUGCUUGUCGCGGUUCGAGCAUUUUAAAUGGUCGAGGAUUAUCACUUUCCUUUCCUCACCUCGUCGAUAUUUGGUUCUAAGUUCCAUCCAUCACUGUAUUCAACCCCAACUAAUAUUAUUAGUGAUAGUCAUUUUCUACCCAACGUAUAUACAUUGG
rnacentral:misc_RNA from 1 species